rnacentral:hammerhead_ribozyme from 1 species
AUCCAGCUACAAGUCCCUAAUAGGACGAAACGCGUGUCUUGGAU